rfam:Tyto alba contig49049, whole genome shotgun sequence.
CAACUUACCUGGCAGGGGAGACACCAUGAUCAGGCAGGUGGUUUUCCCAGGGUGAGGCUCAUCCCUCUCCAGGUGUGCUGAGACCCUGCAUUUUCCCCAAAUGCAGGAAACUCGACUGCAUAACUUGUGGUAUAGGGGGGCAUGCGUUCGUACUCUCCCCUG